rnacentral:rRNA from 2 species
CUAAUACAUGCAAGUCGAGCGAACAGAUGAGAAGCUUGCUUCUCUGAUGUUAGCGGCGGACGGGUGAGUAACACGUGGGUAACCUACCUAUAAGACUGGGAUAACUCCGGGAAACCGGGGCUAAUACCGGAUAAUAUAUUGAACCGCAUGGUUCAAUGUUGAAAGACGGUUUCGGCUGUCACUUAUAGAUGGACCCGCGCCGUAUUAGCUAGUUGGUAAGGUAACGGCUUACCAAGGCAACGAUACGUAGCCGACCUGAGAGGGUGAUCGGCCACACUGGAACUGAGACACGGUCCAGACUCCUACGGGAGGCAGCAGUAGGGAAUCUUCCGCAAUGGGCGAAAGCCUGACGGAGCAACGCCGCGUGAGUGAUGAAGGUCUUAGGAUCGUAAAACUCUGUUGUUAGGGAAGAACAAAUUUGUUAGUAACUGAACAAGUCUUGACGGUACCUAACCAGAAAGCCACGGCUAACUACGUGCCAGCAGCCGCGGUAAUACGUAGGUGGCAAGCGUUAUCCGGAAUUAUUGGGCGUAAAGCGCGCGUAGGCGGUUUCUUAAGUCUGAUGUGAAAGCCCACGGCUCAACCGUGGAGGGUCAUUGGAAACUGGGGAACUUGAGUGCAGAAGAGGAGAGUGGAAUUCCAUGUGUAGCGGUGAAAUGCGCAGAGAUAUGGAGGAACACCAGUGGCGAAGGCGGCUCUCUGGUCUGUAACUGACGCUGAUGUGCGAAAGCGUGGGGAUCAAACAGGAUUAGAUACCCUGGUAGUCCACGCCGUAAACGAUGAGUGCUAAGUGUUAGGGGGUUUCCGCCCCUUAGUGCUGCAGCUAACGCAUUAAGCACUCCGCCUGGGGAGUACGACCGCAAGGUUGAAACUCAAAGGAAUUGACGGGGACCCGCCACAAGCGGUGGAGCAUGUGGUUUAAUUCGAAGCAACGCGAAGAACCUUACCAAAUCUUGACAUCCUUUGAUCGCUCUAGAGAUAGAGUUUUCCCCUUCGGGGGACAAAGUGACAGGUGGUGCAUGGUUGUCGUCAGCUCGUGUCGUGAGAUGUUGGGUUAAGUCCCGCAACGAGCGCAACCCUUAAGCUUAGUUGCCAUCAUUAAGUUGGGCACUCUAGGUUGACUGCCGGUGACAAACCGGAGGAAGGUGGGGAUGACGUCAAAUCAUCAUGCCCCUUAUGAUUUGGGCUACACACGUGCUACAAUGGAUAAUACAAAGGGCAGCGAACCCGCGAGGUCAAGCAAAUCCCAUAAAAUUAUUCUCAGUUCGGAUUGUAGUCUGCAACUCGACUACAUGAAGCUGGAAUCGCUAGUAA